rnacentral:rRNA from 1 species
UACGUAGGGGGCGAGCGUUGUCCGGAUUUAUUGGGCGUAAAGAGCUCGUAGGCGGCUUAGCAAGUCGGGUGUGAAAACUCCAGGCUCAACCUGGAGACGCCACUCGAGACUGCUAUGGCUAGAGUCCGGUAGGGGACCACGGAAUUCCUGGUGUAGCGGUGAAAUGCGCAGAUAUCGGGAAGAACACCCGUGGCGAAGGCGGUUCUCUGGGACGGUACUGACGCUGAGACGCGAAAGCGUGGGGAGCAAACAGG